rnacentral:lncRNA from 1 species
CGCAUUAUUCGGAAAGGGUAACAAUCGGAAUGGAAUUUGAAUUAGAAAUGAUAACCCAAUGCCAAAUUGAAGUGCAUAGCCUGACAAAGUGGUAAACACAAUUCGGUAUCCGAUAAAAAAUACGAACCUCUAUUAAAUGAAGGUCUUUUCACCUUCCAAAGUGUGAUUAUCAACUAGUAAUGCAGAUAAAAUCCCUCAUAGCAAACUGGCCAUCAUAUUUUGAGAUAAACACAAGAUAGUUAAUUGAUGAUUAAAUAUUUCUAGCAAGCAUAAAGUAGCAAUACCACAAAGGGAAGCCUUCAACUAGAUGAAUAACUCUCAAGGAGGCUCUGUUCCAGAUACUAUGCACAAAAUUGCAACCAAAAUUAGCUUUAAAAAAAUAAAGAAAGAAAAACAACAUGUGAAUUUACCAAUAAAAAAGGCUCCAUCGUAUACCAUACAAGACUUACCAAACAUCCCUUUUACUUAAUGACAUAGAAGAUAAAUCAGCAACAGAACUGCCACACCCCCAACUAAGUUGGAAACUUGGGAAUUCAAGUCAAGAAUCAUGAUACAAGUAGGAAUUGCCACUAUAGUGAUGAUAGAAAUUUGAUACAUUUUCAAAUCCUACAAGGAUCUUCUACAUGCAGAGGAUUAUUCAUCCAUAAAAAUAUGAAAAUUUGUAGCUUUGUUUCCACAAAAAUGCAAAAACUCAUUCCAAACAACCAACCCUUCAAGUCACAAAUUCACAAUCCACGGAGUCCCAAUUUCUGAAAUCUUUCCAAUUAAAAAUUUUCACUUUUGCUAAAACUUUUUACCUUCCACAAUAAGAUUUCUAAUUUCCAUGCCUAUGCUACCUCCAGUGACCAUCAUCUCCAUAAAGCUUCAUUUUCUUCCAACCCAUGGACUCCUCUAUCUGGAUGGUCCUUUGAUUCGAACUACGUACAUUGACCCCCAAAAUAAAUCUUCCUAACCAGAUGUAGAUCAGAUUCGAGUUGGUCUAAGAACAGAAACCUUCACAUUUUCUGGCUGCUUAACAGAGGAGAUCGGAGCAGGAUCUUGAAAAUGAAAACCCCCAAACAGCUCGGCUACUCAGCAACUACACGUCGUUGUUUCACGAUGUGAUAUAUCACCCCAAUAUUGUCUCCCACCUCACUUUUGAUUUCGUUGCCACUCAAAUCUAUGAGAUUCCAUUACCGACAGGUUAAGAAUAGUUGUAGAUUAGAGUCUGAAUAUAGUACUCUUCCAAAGGUUAAGGUUUUUCAAUAGAGAGAGAGAAAACUUAGGGGUUUCAACGAGAGUGA